rnacentral:sRNA from 1 species
GUUUGUCCUAGAGAAAUAAACUUUUUAUGAGAUAUUUGGGAAAGAUUUCCCAAACUAUUUCUAUGUUUAUAGGUAGGAUUAUCAUUGCUUUAUUUUUAAAAUUCAUUACUAUCAGGGUGACUUAAUAUCUGUAUAGUAUACUGAUAGUCAUGCUUAUGGAAUUUUAUUUGUAUAACUAUUAUUUGAGUAUUUUUUAAAAAAUGAAAGCAUUUAGGGAAUCUCAAUAUUUUUCUCUGUUUUCUUAGAGAGGAUCCUAUAAUUCUUAUCCAGUAUUGUAUAGGUAUCAAUUGCACAUAGCUUCUAAUUAGAGAUUUGUGAUGCUUCAGGGGAAAGGUUCGAUGAAGAAAUCUUACUCAGGACAAGUGCUCCAAAGUCUCUCACUGUCUACAAUAUCCAGUUGCAGUUCUCCAAGCUAGUUCCCAUCUACUAGAGGAAGAAGCUCCUCUGAUGAGCAUGCAGAGUACCUUCCAACUCCAUGAAUAUUACAUGUGAAGCUUCAAGUUUGGUAUCUGCACAAUUUCUCCAUGGUUGAUGACAGAAGUAAGUGAUACCAUUCUAUAGCACUAGGGCUUUAUCUUAAGGUUGUAGAGAGUAACUAAUCGCCUUGUCAAUAUCUUGUUUGGAAUCGUCUAUGGGACGCAAUUGACUAAAACUCAACCAAACAGUCCAUUCCUAACACUGGACAGAUUAUUUUUUGGCAUAGUAAAUCCAGUUAAGUUAAUGAAUCCUCUAGUCUGUGAUGCCUAUGUUUAAAUUCCUUUCAUAUGUAUGAAAUGUCUACAAGUUUUUUGAAAUAUUCGUACAUAAGUAUUGUAUUUAGAUAAUGUCCAUUCUCCCUUUUACACAACUGCCUCCUCACAUGUAUGUUUAAUUAUCUGUCAAAUCAUGAAUUUUUCUAUUAAUUAUUAUUGGUGAGCACUAUUAUUAUUUAUUUCUAAAUAAUGAUUCCUCUCCUAUCAUUUCCACCCAUACAA